rnacentral:lncRNA from 1 species
CCGAAGCAGAUUGUAUGAGAAUUUCUGUUAUUCUUGCCGGGGGUCUCUCUUUCGCAGCUGCCUUAGCAACGCACUGGGGUUUGAAAUACAUUCACAAAAGGGUACUGCAGUCAAAUCACAAGGCUAAGGAUGGCAAUCAACCAGCGUGGGGAGCAGCGUGUCAGGAGUCAUUGUGCCCUGACAGGGCAGGGGCUGGAAGUAUUGUGUGGGAGCACCUACGAAAGCAAAUAUAG